AGUUCGAUUCUGGCUCAGAUUGAACGGGCUGGCGGAGGCUACACAUGCAAGUCGAACGGCAGCACGGACUUCGGUCUGGUGGCGAGUGGCGAACGUAAGAGUAAUGUAUCGGAACGUGCCUAGCAGCGGGGGAUAACUACGCGAAAGCGUAGCCAUCGUGUAUACGCCCUUCGGGGGAAAGCGGGGGACCUUCGGGCCUCGCACUAUUAGAGCGGCCGAUAUCGGAUUAGCUAGUUGGUGGGGUAACGGCUCACCAAGGCGACGAUCCGUAGCUGGUUUGAGAGGACGACCAGCCACACUGGGACUGAGACACGGCCCAGACUCCUACGGGAGGCAGCAGUGGGAAUUUUGGACAAUGGGGGAAACCCUGAUCCAGCCACCCUGCGUGUGCGAUGAAGGCCUUCGGGUUGUAAAGCACUUUUGGCAGGAAAGAAACGGCACGGGAUAAUACCUCGUGCAACUGACGGUACCCGCAGAAUAAGCACCGGCUAACUACGUGCCAGCAGCCGCGGUAAUACGUAGGCAAGCGUUAAUCGGAAUUACUGGGCGUAAAGCGUGUGCAGGCGGUUCGGAAAGAAAGAUGUGAAAUCCCAGAGCUAACUUUGGAAACUGCAUUUCAACUACCGAGCUAGAGUGUGUCAGAGGAGGUGGAAUUCCGCGUGUAGCAGUGAAAUGCGUAGAUAUGCGGAGGAACACCGAUGGCGAAGGCACCGGGAUAACACUGACGCUCAUGCACGAAAGCGUGGGGAGCAAACAGAUUAGAUACCCCGGUAGUCCACGCCCUAAAACGAUGUCAACUAGCUGUUGGGGCCUUCGGGCCUUCGGUAGCGCAGCUAACGCGUGAAGUUGACCGCCUGGGGAGUACGGUCGCAAGAUUAAAACUCAAAGGAAUUGACGGGGACUCCGCACAAGCGGUGGAUGAUGUGGAUUAAUUCGAUGCAACGCGAAAACCUUACCUACCCUUGACAUGUCUGGAAUCCCGAAGAGAUUUGGGAGUGCUCGCAAGAGAACUUCGGAACACAGGUGCUGCAUGGCUGUCGUCAGCUCGUGUCGUGAGAUGUUGGGUUAAGUCCUGCAACGAGCGCAACCCUUGUCAUUAGUUGCUACGAAAGGGCACUCUAAUGAGACUGCCGGUGACAAACCGGAGGAAGGUGGGGAUGAUGUCAAGUCCUCAUGGCCCUUAUGGGCAGGGCUUCACACGUCAUACAAUGGUCGGGACAGAGGGUCGCCAACCCGCGAGGGGGGAGCCAAUCCCAGAAACCCGAUCGUAGUCCGGAUCGCAGUCUGCAACUCGACUGCGUGAAGUCGGAAUCGCUAGUAAUCGCGGAUCGCGCAUGUCGCGGUGAAUACGUUCCGGUCUGUACACACCGCCCGUCACACCAUGGGAGUGGGUUUUACCAGAAGUAGUUAGCCUAACCGUAAGGGGAGGGCGAUUACCACGGUAGGAUUCAUGACUGGGGUGAAGUUGCACAAGGUAA
rnacentral:rRNA from 1 species